rnacentral:rRNA from 1 species
UACGAAGGGGGCUAGCGUUGUUCGGAUUUACUGGGCGUAAAGCGCACGUAGGCGGAUCGAUCAGUCAGGGGUGAAAUCCCAGAGCUCAACUCUGGAACUGCCUUUGAUACUGUCGAUCUGGAGUACGGAAGAGGUGAGUGGAAUUCCGAGUGUAGAGGUGAAAUUCGUAGAUAUUCGGAGGAACACCAGUGGCGAAGGCGGCUCACUGGUCCAUUACUGACGCUGAGGUGCGAAAGCGUGGGGAGCAAACAGG